UGGGGAAUAUUGCGCAAUGGGGGCAACCCUGACGCAGCCAUGCCGCGUGAAUGAAGAAGGCCUUCGGGUUGUAAAGUUCUUUCGGUAGCGAGGAAGGCAUUUAGUUUAAUAGACUAGGUGAUUGACGUUAACUACAGAAGAAGCACCGGCUAACUCCGUGCCAGCAGCCGCGGUAAUACGGAGGGUGCGAGCGUUAAUCGGAAUAACUGGGCGUAAAGGGCACGCAGGCGGUGACUUAAGUGAGGUGUGAAAGCCCCGGGCUUAACCUGGGAAUUGCAUUUCAUACUGGGUCGCUAGAGUACUUUAGGGAGGGGUAGAAUUCCACGUGUAGCGGUGAAAUGCGUAGAGAUGUGGAGGAAUACCGAAGGCGAAGGCAGCCCCUUGGGAAUGUACUGACGCUCAUGUGCGAAAGCGUGGGGAGCAAACAGGAUUAGAUACCCUGGUAGUCCACGCUGUAAACGAUGUCGAUUUGGGGGUUGAGCUUUGAGCUUGGCGCCCGUAGCUAACGUGAUAAAUCGACCGCCUGGGGAGUACGGCCGCAAGGUUA
rnacentral:rRNA from 1 species